rnacentral:misc_RNA from 1 species
AAGACUAUAGACCUGCGGAGUACCUGCGGAAGGAUCAUUUUCGGGAGGGAUUAACAAAGACUUGUGUGGGUCUGUGAUGGGCUCCACAAGUGGUUAACUUAGACACACAUUCCGAUGGAACAUGGCAUUUGUCUGAAAAUACAAUGGAAAUUGACUGAUAAAACUUUCAACAAUGGAUCUCU